rnacentral:rRNA from 1 species
UACAGAGGUCUCAAGCGUUGUUCGGAUUCAUUGGGCGUAAAGGGUGCGUAGGCGGCGCGGUAAGUCGGGUGUGAAAUCUCGGAGCUUAACUCCGAAACUGCAUUCGAUACUGCCGUGCUUGAGGACUGGAGAGGAGACUGGAAUUUACGGUGUAGCGGUGAAAUGCGUAGAUAUCGUAAGGAAGACCAGUGGCGAAGGCGGGUCUCUGGACAUUUCCUGACGCUGAGGCACGAAAGCCAGGGGAGCAAACGGG